GCCCCGGCGGCGCCAGUGGAGUACCCGCCGGUGCAGGAGGACGGCCAGCACAGGGAGCCCUCGGGGUCACGCAGCCUCUGCCUCCUCAGCACCGGCGCGCCCUGGCGAGCAGCGUGAGGAGGGCCGGCCCGGGAAGCCCAGGAGGAGGGCCAUGGCGCCGCUCGCCGGAGCACAUACCCCCUCAGUGGCACGUUUCGAUUUCCUGUGGGGAGAUGCCGCAUACCUCGAGGCCACACUCGAGAAUCUCGAGUUCUCUAAUGAACUUGGAUGUAAGGGCGGCCCUGGUGUGGGAGGCGGCGUGGCCUCGGCAGAAGGACCAGACGGAGUCCAGUGUGGAAGGGAGCAAGAAGGAAGGGACAAUUUUUCGGGUCGAUUAUUGUUGUUCUGGGUUGAUUACCACAUCAACUAAGUUGUGUUCUCUUUUAAGCUCUCGAUCUGGAGCUGUACAUGCCCAGGAUGGUCUUGACGGCGCUGCUGCUACUGGCUUGGUACAGACAUCUCGUCAUCCCUGCUGUCUGCGCUCCUCAACUGAAUGUCGGCGUGGACGCCGGCGCAUUCCCGAGGGUGCAUUUGAGCAGCGACGGUCAUCUUGCUAAUGAUCUACCAUGAGGAUUUCACGGAAGAACACAUUGGUGUUCAGGUGGAUGGUGACGACGCUGGUACUCUUGUGUCUUGCCGGCGCUGGUGCCACGGGCUUCACCUUCGACAAGUACAACCUGAGGAUGUAUGAGUAGAAGAUGGGCAAUGGGCGGUUCUGGGCAGGAGCCGCCUCGAGCGAGCUCCAGAUCGAGCGGGGGCGGCUGUGAGCGGCCGCGGCGUGCUCCGGCUCAGGGAAGGGGAGGCCGGCGCGAGCUCGGGAAGGGCGGGCGCGGGCGGGCUUGGUUGGGCGCGGCGAGCUCCGGCUCCGUCUCAUGGGGCAGGUGGAGCAGCACGACGCCGGGGCUCCAGCUCGUGGAGAAGAGCCGGUAGACAGAGGACGGCGAGCGACGACCGGGGAGCUUUGGCAUGGAUUUGAGCAAAAGAAGAGUCACAGGAAUAUUUGGGUCUUCUAACUUGCAGCUAGGGUUUCGGUGUUUAGAAGAUUCUUAACAAUGGUGAUAACAGGCAUGAAAUACAGUGGAGGGUUGCUGCCAGAGUUUGGCGUGAGUUCUUGUGAUGGCGUGGUGAGCACGGGAAAUUGAUGUUCAUGGAAUCGGGGAUUCAGAGAGCCGAUACUUUAGAUUUUCAGUGUCAGUAUAAAAAACUGACAAUGGUUUUUAGCUAUGCAUGGAGUAGCUUUGAAACUCUCCAAAAAAGGAGUAGCAUUAGCAAGACAGGCAUGAGCAGGGCUGAAAGCAAGGAAUUUGAGAAGAUCUCUGUAGAUUGGUGGUGAAAUCCAAGAUGCUCGAUUUCUUCUUGGACGUGGACAAGCCCCGCUAAGAAGUGUCAGCCUUAGUGAUUCUGGUUUCCGGCCGAUGGCUUCAAUGGUUGGUCGAGGUUUCUGUAGAUGUUGAUGUGUUGUUUAAAGAUGUGGUUGUCUGCAAGGUCACCAAUAGCCCUAGAGGAUGGUGAGGAUCUUACAAGUAAUUGUUAUCGAUGCAGGCUCAUCCAUGGUGGCGCCACCUCCAGCAUCAGACAAGGUGCCACCGGCUGUCGUGUUCAACACCCACAUGUUGGCCCUUCGCUGAGGUCUGUCAAGCUUGAAGUUGUUGGUGCACUUGCCUGAGGUUUCCUCUUUCUACACAUGUAAUGAGAAUCUCAAGAAAUUUCUCACGCAAGUGGAGGUUCAGUGGUUUGAGCAAUAUACAGUGCAUAAGGUAUAUCUUUCAGAGAAAAUAAACAAAUCUCAUUCUAGGAAGACUUGGGAUAGGAAUCAGUGAGUUUUGCAGCGAUGCAUAACAACUUUGUCAACCAUGGGUUUUUUCUGAAGCUCUUUUCAAAAUCAGAGAGAGUUAAACUACACUGGAGGCCUAAGAAAUCUUAGCAAUAACUGCUUUAUCAAUAUUAUCAAUCGUGUGGCAUAUGCUUUUCCAAUGAAUAUGUAUUACAAUGUGCUAUAUGUGUGAGUAUCAUUAUCAUCUGGAACAAGUCCAGACUAAAUCAAAAGAUGUUUCCUUGACAUGCACCUGCUAGCUUCAACCAUUUGUAGGUGAUUCCAUGUAUAGAGCGGGUUUUUUCAGAUAGCUUCAGUCAUUGUGUUUCUUCCCCAUGAUUGAGCUAUAUGCCGAUGAGGUCUGACCAGGGGAUUGAGAUAUUUAAAGUGUGCACUGGAGUUACUGGAAGAUAAUUCCAUCAAUGAAUUCAUAACUUUUGAGACAUAAUAAGUUUAGCUGGUAUAUUAUCCCGCAACAACCGAGAUGAACUACAUUCUUCAUCGCUUUAGUUGUGCCAUGUAUGGCCUUAAUCAAGAUCCAUGUAGUGCUUUCCAGUGGCUCCAUUCUUUGCUAUAUACAUCUCCCGGUUCUAGGAUUUAGUAGGUUGCUUCUUGUCUCUUCUUGUACCGGUCACAGGUUCUGUGCUCUUCUACUGUGUUGAGGUUGUUCUCUGUGGGGCCUUAUCUUCAUGUAUGGUUCCUAUUACGAGCUUAACUCGCUGGCACCAGCUGAAGAGCUUAUCCAUCCAAGAGACCAGGAGUGGAUGCGUUUUGGGAUCAUCCUGGUUGUGUAUUCUGAUCGGUUGAAUAUGGUCUAUAUGCAAUUAAAAAGUCUGUACUGCUUACCAGGACGUGGUAUGGAUGGAUCAAGGCGUCGAACAGGCGCAUCCCAGCCUUCUCUUACCCAAAUCUGUGAGGCAAGCAUCCUUCCAUCGUUUUAUGGAUUGAAGAAGGCGCACAAUGAGAUCGGUCCACCCUUCUCUUACCUGGAUCAGCCAAGGGAGCAUCCUUCCACGACAACGGCCAAAUCAUGUACCGAUGUACGGAGUCAGUUUGCUCUUCCUCCACUUGUAUUUUCAAUCUUUAUGUACACUAAUGGAACGGGUUCAUGUGCAAUAUUAAUUAUCAGCGGCUGAUUUUCUAUUUGAGUAGACUUGAUAUUGUAUAUUUUUCUAAUCAGUGCUAUGUAUGCAUGUGCUUCACAAUUUUUAGACAAUAUUGUAAAUUUGCAAAUAAAGUGACAAAGGAUGGAAUCGAGCUAGGGACAUCACAUUAUUUGUUUUCA